GAUGAACGCUGGCGGCGUGCCUAACACAUGCAAGUCGAGCGAACAGACGAGGAGCUUGCUCCCCUGACGUUAGCGGCGGACGGGUGAGUAACACGUGGAUAACCUACCUAUAAUACUGGGAUAACUUCGGGAAACCGGUGCCACUACCGGAUCAUAUAUCCAACCGCAUGGUUCAAUAGUGAAUGACGGCUUUGCCGUCUCUUAUAGAUGGAUCCGCGCCGCAUUAGCUAGUUGGUAAGGUAACGGCUUACCAAGGCAACGAUGCGUAGCCGACCUGAGAGGAUGAUCGGCCACACUGGAACUGAGACACGGUCCAGACUCCUACGGGAGGCAGCAGUAGGGAAUCUUGCGCAAUGGGCGAAAGCUUGACGGAGCAACGCCGCGUGAGUGAAGAAGGUCUUCGGAUCGUAAAGCUCUGUUAUUGGGAAAGAACAAAUGUGUAAGUAAAUAUGGACGUCCUGACGGUACCUAAUCAGAAAGCCACGGCUAACUACGUG
rnacentral:rRNA from 1 species